rnacentral:rRNA from 1 species
AGUGAACGCUGGCGGUAGGCCUAACACAUGCAAGUCGAACGGCAGCACAGUAAGAGCUUGCUCUUACGGGUGGCGAGUGGCGGACGGGUGAGGAAUACAUCGGAAUCUACUUUUUCGUGGGGGAUAACGUAGGGAAACUUACGCUAAUACCGCAUACGACCUACGGGUGAAAGCAGGGGAUCUUCGGACCUUGCGCGAUUGAAUGAGCCGAUGUCGGAUUAGCUAGUUGGCGGGGUAAAGGCCCACCAAGGCGACGAUCCGUAGCUGGUCUGAGAGGAUGAUCAGCCACACUGGAACUGAGACACGGUCCAGACUCCUACGGGAGGCAGCAGUGGGGAAUAUUGGACACUGGGCGCAAGCCUGCUCCAGCCAUACCGCGUGGGUGAAGAAGGCCUUCGGGUUGUAAAGCCCUUUUGUUGGGAAAGAAAAGCAGCAGGUUAAUACCCCGCUGUUCUGACGGUACCCAAAGAAUAAGCACCGGCUAACUUCGUG